ACUCAAAACUCAAAGGACUUGACGGUGCCCCAAACCAACCUAGAGGAGCCUGUCCUAUAAUCGAUAAUCCACGCUAUACCUCACCCCCUCUCGAAACCAGUCUGUAUACCGCCGUCUCUCAGUUCGCCUGAUGACAGACCCAUAGCGAACACAACAGCCAACCACUCAAACGUCAGGUCAAGGUGCAGCUAAUGGGGGGGCCAGCGAUGGGCUACAUUUUCUACAACAGAACACCACCAGCCACCAUAUGAAACAUAGGCCACAAGGCGGAUUUAGCAGUAAGCCAAACA
rnacentral:rRNA from 1 species